UUAUUAGAAUAAUAAAUGUCAACAUGAGCAAAUUUAGGUUUACAAGAUAGUUCUUCUCCUUUAAUAGAACAAUUAAUCUUUUUCCAUGAUCACGCACUUUUAAUUUUAGUAAUAAUUACUGUCCUUGUAGAAUACUUAAUGUUUAUAUUAUUUUUUAACAAAUAUGUAAAUCGAUAUUUAUUACACGGACAAACUAUUGAAAUUAUUUGAACAAUUUUACCUGCAAUUAUUUUAUUAUUUAUUGCUUUCCCUUCUCUUCGACUUUUAUAUUUACUUGAUGAAAUUAAUGAACCUUCAAUUACUUUAAAGGCAAUUGGUCAUCAAUGAUAUUGAAGUUAUGAAUAUUCAGAUUUUGCAAAUAUUGAAUUUGAUUCAUAUAUAAUUCCUACUAACGAAUUAUCAAUUGAUAGUUUUCGUUUAUUAGAUGUAGAUAAUCGAGUAGUUUUACCAAUAAAUUCUCAAGUUCGAAUUUUAGUAACUGCCGCUGAUGUAAUUCAUUCUUGAACUAUCCCAGCACUAGGAGUAAAGGUAGAUGGAACUCCUGGUCGACUAAAUCAAACAAAUUUUUUAAUUAACCGACCAGGUUUAUUUUACGGACAAUGUUCAGAAAUUUGCGGAGCUAAUCAUAGUUUUAUACCAAUUGUAAUUGAAAGAAUUCCAGUAAAUUACUUUAUUAAGUGAAUUUCUAAUAAUAUAAAUUCUU